rnacentral:rRNA from 1 species
AGCAGCCGCGGUAAUUCCAGCUCCAAUAGCGUAUAUUAAAGUUGUUGCAGUUAAAAAGCUCGUAGUUGAAUUUCGGGAUCAAUUUGCUGGUCGUGCCUUCGGUACGCACUGGUAUUAUUGGUUUCUCCUUUCUGAUGAAUCGCGAUGUCAUUAAUUUGGUGUCGUGGGGAAUCAGGACCGUUACUUUGAAAAAAUUAGAGUGUUUAAAGCAGGCUCACGCUUGAAUACAUUAGCAUGGAAUAAUGAAAUAGGACGUUUGAUUCUAUUUUGUUGGUUUCUAGGAUCGACGUAAUGAUUAAUAGGGAUAGUUGGGGGCAUUAGUAUUCAAUUGUCAGAGGUGGAAUUCUUGGAUUUAUUGAAGACUAACUACUGCGAAAGCAUUUUGCCAAGGAUGUUUUCAUUAAUCAAGAACGAAAGUUAGGGGAUCGAAGACGAUCAGAUACCGUCGUAGUCUUAACCAUAAACUAUGCCGACUAGGGGAUCGGAUGAUGUUAAUUUUUUAAUGACUCAUUC